rnacentral:rRNA from 1 species
UCGCCGCGGGAAUACGUAGGGUGCGAGCGUUAAUCGGAAUUACUGGGCGUAAAGCGUGCGCAGGCGGUUUUGUAAGACAGGCGUGAAAUCCCCGGGCUCAACCUGGGAAUGGCGCUUGUGACUGCAAAGCUAGAGUGCGGCAGAGGGGGAUGGAAUUCCGCGUGUAGCAGUGAAAUGCGUAGAUAUGCGGAGGAACACCGAUGGCGAAGGCAAUCCCCUGGGCCUGCACUGACGCUCAUGCACGAAAGCGUGGGGAGCAAAUGGGAUUAGAUACCCGAGUAGUCCCUGUCUCUUAUACACA